UUCAUGAAGAUGGUAUGGGGAAACAACCUAAAAGUAGCAAAGCCCUGUGGACAAGGUUUCAUUAACUAAGUUUAGACAAGCUACGGAGUAGAUGGCUAGCUGGGCGUUCCACCGUUCGUUGGUGACUCCGGGGCACGGCUGGCCGGUCCUUGCGGCAUGCCGAUCUAGUAGCUUGGUCUCUCACCGGACACUGGUGCGGGUUUUGCCCGGACUUUUAUACCGAUGGAACCACUGGCUAGCUUCAAGAAGCAAAUAUAUCUUGCAAUCGCUCUCCCCCACCAUUCCAUUCCUCGUCUCCUGCCUCUCGGUGUCGUCUUUCUUGCUGCCCGCGACAAGAAGAAUCGCGUGGGGUGGAACUUGAGAGGUGUCACAGCGGGGGUUCCACAAAGAAAGUCCAUGCCAUCUCCAAAGGCCACAACCUAAAGAUGAUCAUGGAUGAUGGCAAUUGAUCGAGCGGCUGACGAGCGCUGACAAGAUAACCAUGAUUUUCUUGAGAUUGUUGCCUUUGGAGAUCUCGUCGACUUUCUUCUUGGACUCUCCUUUGUGACACCUCUCACAGUUCCAUUCCAUGUGCUUCUUCUUGACCGCGAUGAGGAUCGAAACUGCAUGUUGUGUUUUUCAUGUUUUUCAGGUCCAACCUGAUGCAUCAUUAGGCUCGGCCCUGAAAACGGUGCGCACAACAUACAGUCAUACACACGUCCCUCCCUCGCCUCUCUGAAAGACAUGGUUUCCAGGCAGUGGCGGAGACAGAGCAUUUGAAACCUGGGUGCAUAGGGGGUGCCUCAGCACAUAAAAAAUAAAUUUAGGGGGUGCAUUAGUGGUGAAAAAAUGCUGUUUAACAAAGGAUUUUGUUUUCUACCGAAGUCCUGUGCACCCUGCUACGCUGCUACCUAAAGGUAGACCCGCCGCUGCUUCUGAGAAAUUGCACGACUCUGAAUAUGUGUAAUUGACCAUGGACUUGAUUUCUAAUUAUUUUUUGUGAUGCUUGAUCAGUAGAUCACUUGUGCGCUAUGUAAAUAUGUAUGUGUAGUAUUGUUGUUCUUGUGGUCACUAUAUGUGCUAUGCAUAGUGAUCAUGGCACAUUCCAUUUAUCUAGUUUAUGUUUUGUGCAUAGUAGCUUAAUUAUCCUACUUCUAUUUUCUAAUAUGUGGACUUCUUAUAUGUGAGGUGCAUAAGUGUGUGCGGUGCACAUGUUGCUGGGCUGGCUGUGUGACGGGAUCACCGUGGUCGCGGUGAUGAUGCUAUGUCGGCUUUGUCUACAAUUCUCUCAGGAUGGUUCCUGCGCUCGGCGUCAAUGAAGUCGGCGAACUCGGCGUCCCGCAGAAUGGAUCCCUCGUCGGCGUUUUCGAUUCGGGUGACCAGCUUCUCGUACUCGCUCUGAAAUCGCACACCAGGAAAAGAUGCAUGCAUGUUAAUGGCGAUAAUGGAUGUAAGACUUUCCAAGAACUCGCGGCCGGCCGUGCCUGCGCCCGUGCCAGCCUCCGGCGGCGCUGAAGAGAAGUACAUGAAAGGUGCCCUCACCCCGACGCCGUGCCUCUUGCAGAAGGGCACCCAGAGGGCGGCGAACUCCGCGGCCUGGCGCAGGGCGUAGCAGGUGACGGGCGAGCAGCCGUCGUCGGAGACGUAGCACGCCAGCUUGCCGACGUCUGGGUAGUCGAGGGCGAGUAGCGAUAGCACGGUGUUGACGGUGAUCAGCGGCGGUUCCAGCAGCGGGUCGGCCGUGGUGACGAACAUGUCCAUCG